UUUUAUGAUUUUAAUUGUUUUUAUAUUUGUCAUCUGAUUUUAAUUGUUUUCUUUAUUACAGGUAAAAUGGCUAUUAUGAAGUCAAUCAUUCGUGCAAGGGGCAAGGGAUACUUGAAAGUAUCAAUUGAUAUUUGUUUAGAUGGAGAUGUUCCAUUGUUGUCAAGCCUCAUUCGCGUAGAUGAUGAUGCUGGAUAUUUGAAAGUAUCCC
rnacentral:lncRNA from 1 species